UACAGAGGUCCCAAGCGUUGUCCGGAUUUAUUGGGCGUAAAGAGCUCGUAGGUGGUUUGUCGCGUUGUCCGUGAAAACUCACAACUCAAUUGUGGGCGUGCGGGCGAUACGGGCAGACUGGAGUACUGCAGGGGAGACUGGAAUUCCUGGUGUAGCGGUGGAAUGCGCAGAUAUCAGGAGGAACACCGGUGGCGAAGGCGGGUCUCUGGGCAGUAACUGACGCUGAGGAGCGAAAGCGUGGGGAGCGAACAGG
rnacentral:rRNA from 1 species